rnacentral:rRNA from 1 species
UACGUAGGGCGCAAGCGUUGUCCGGAAUUAUUGGGCGUAAAGAGCUCGUAGGCGGUUUGUCGCGUCUGCUGUGAAAACCUGAGGCUCAACCUCGGGCUUGCAGUGGGUACGGGCAGACUAGAGUGCGGUAGGGGUGACUGGAAUUCCUGGUGUAGCGGUGAAUGCGCAGAUAUCAGGAGGAACACCAGUGGCGAAGGCGGCUUCCUGGACCUGUUCUGACACUGAGGAGCGAAAGCGUGGGGAGCGAUCCGG